AUUGAACGCUGGCGGCAGGCCUAACACAUGUAAGUCGAACGGUAACAGGAAGCAGCUUGCUGCUUUGCUGACGAGUGGCGGACGGGUGAGUAAUGUCUGUGAAACUGCCCGAUGGAGGGGGAUAACUACUGGAAACGGUAGCUAUUACCGCAUAACGUCGCAAGACCAAAGAGGGGGACCUUAUGGCCUCUUGCCAUCGGAUGUGCCCAGAUGGGAUUAGCUAGUAGGUGGGGUAACGGCUCACCUAGGCGACGAUCCCUAGCUGGUCUGAGAGGAUGACCAGCCACACUGGAACUGAGACACGGUCCAGACUCCUACGGGAGGCAGCAGUGGGGAAUAUUGCACAAUGGGCGCAAGCCUGAUGCAGCCAUGCCGCGUGUAUGAAGAAGGCCUUCGGGUUGUAAAGUACUUUCAGCGGGGAGGAAGGGAGUAAAGUUAAUACCUUUGCUCAUUGACGUUACCCGCAGAAGAAGCACCGGCUAACUCCGUG
rnacentral:rRNA from 1 species